rnacentral:lncRNA from 1 species
ACGGGCGGGGGAGGAAAAGGAGAGGUAAGGAAGGAGGACAGCGGCUCCCAGGCUAGAGGAAGGAAUCUGGAAGCAGUCGGAGCAGCAGGUCUGGGGAACUGUUCAUUUGCAGUGCCUCAGAGUUUGCAGACUCGCAGCUCGCCAGUCGCUCUGGGCGAGGGCUGCUGGCGGAGACCGGACGCCAGAGUUUAAAAUGCAAUGGCCAGAAGACAAGGAAGUAUCACUAGAAUUAUGUGGACAUGGACUCCGGGACUGCUGAUGAUGACUGUGAUCUUUUGGAGUCAGCAAGGGAAUGGACAAGGCCAAGUGCCUGCAUCAGAUGUGGUCCCUGCUGCCUCUAAACCUACAGUUCCAGCGACAGGUCAAGGUUAGAGAAAGAACAAAACAGCACAAGACAGGCAUAUGCGGUCGGGGAGACAAGAGAGCAACGGGGAGAAAAGUAACACUGCAUGGGCUAGAAGCAUAGAUCUUGGAGACCAUCCGACUGGGACCCGUCGCCUUUCUGGAUCUCUGUUCCUCGUCUGUAAGAUCGGGUUACAAACAUCUUGUCUCAUAUAGUCCUUUUGAGAAAUGAGUUGAUUUUUUUAUGUAUUUCUAAUACUGUAUAUUUAAAAAAUAAUUGGAACAUAGAAAAGGUCAAACUUCACUGUUUGUAAAAUAAAAUUAAAUGACAUAAUGUAAGAAGCUCUUUCAAAUAGUAAUGCAAAAUAUGACACAGUUCAACUUUUUAGUCUACAUUAUAAAACUGAUGUUGAAAAGCCCAUUAAUUUAGAAAGUAUGAAAAAUAAAUUAUGCAAUCAAAUUUCAAUAAAUUUUUACUUUUUAAUCU